UGCGUAGGCGGAAUAUUAAGUCAGUGGUGAAAUCCUGCGGCUCAACCGUAGAACUGCCAUUGAUACUGAUAUUCUUGAAUGUAGUUGAGGUAGGCGGAAUGUGUAAUGUAGCGGUGAAAUGCUUAGAUAUUACACAGAACACCGAUUGCGAAGGCAGCUUACUAAACUAUUAUUGACGCUGAUGCACGAAAGCGUGGGGAGCGAACAGGAUUAGAUACCCUGGUAGUCC
rnacentral:rRNA from 1 species